GAUGAACGCUGGCGGCGUGCCUAAUACAUGCAAGUAGAACGCUGAAGGAAGGAGCUUGCUCUUUCCGGAUGAGUUGCGAACGGGUGAGUAACGCGUAGGUAACCUGCCUGGUAGCGGGGGAUAACUAUUGGAAACGAUAGCUAAUACCGCAUAACAGUAGAUGUUGCAUGAUAUCUACUUAAAAGGUGCAAUUGCACCACUACCAGAUGGACCUGCGUUGUAUUAGCUAGUUGGUGAGGUAACGGCUCACCAAGGCGACGAUACAUAGCCGACCUGAGAGGGUGAUCGGCCACACUGGGACUGAGACACGGCCCAGACUCCUACGGGAGGCAGCAGUAGGGAAUCUUCGGCAAUGGACGGAAGUCUUACCGAGCAACGCCGCGUGAGUGAAGAAGGUUUUCGGAUCGUAAAGCUCUGUUGUAAGAGAAGAACGAGUGUGAGAGUGGAAAGUUCACACUGUGACGGUAUCUUACCAGAAAGGGACGGCUAACUACGUG
rnacentral:rRNA from 1 species